rnacentral:tRNA from 1 species
CAGGGUAUAGCUAAACAUAGGAAAGCGCCUCACUUACACCGAGAAGACAUCCGUGCAAAUCGGAUUACCCUGA